GACGUAGGGCGCGAGCGUUGUCCGGAUUAUUGGGCGUAAAGAGCUCGUAGGCGGCUUGUCGCGUCGUCCGUGAAAACCUGCAGCUCAACUGCAGGCUUGCGGUCGAUACGGGCAGGCUAGAGUUCGGUAGGGGAGACUGGAAUUCCUGGUGUAGCGGUGAAAUGCGCAGAUAUCAGGAGGAACACCCGGUGGCGAAGGCGGGUCUCUGGGCCGAUACUGACGCUGGAGGAG
rnacentral:rRNA from 1 species